UACGAAGGGAGCCAGCGUUGUUCGGAUUUACUGGGCGUAAAGGGCGCGUAGGCGGAUCUGCAAGUCAGAGGUGAAAGCCCUGGGCUCAACCCGGGAAUGGCCUUUGAGACUGCACGUCUUGAGUGCGAGAGAGGGUGGCGGAAUAACCAGUGUAGAGGUGAAAUUCGUAGAUAUUGGGUAGAACACCGGUGGCGAAGGCGGCCACCUGGCUCGCAACUGACGCUGAUGCGCCUAAGCGUGGGGAGCAAACAGG
rnacentral:rRNA from 1 species